GACAUCACGUACCGUGUAACAGAUUUCAGCUGGAGGCUCGGAAAUGUCGCAGGAUCCACAGAAUCCUUGAAGAACAGAGAGGACCUGAGCUUCUGAUGUGUCACUCAAAGGAGAGGCUGUACAUGACACAUAGAUACCAUCAAGAUUCUGAAAAUCUGCGGCACAGCGGAAUCUUUUGGGUUCUGUAAGCAAACUGUGCGUUCAGCCUGGAAGAAGGGCCCAAGCAGGCUGACCAAGAACUCUUCUCUUGGAGGAGUUUUUCCAGAUGGCCUUUCCAGCAACUGUUUCCCAUGGCAAUUCCAGCGAGGACUCGGACAUCUGCUUCCCAUCAGGGUGUGAAGUGUGAAGCAUCAGGUUUUUGUAGCUGUCCCACUAUUAAGUGAAGGCUGCCCUCCUCACCCUGGCCCGUGUCAAGGCCACUUCCCUGGGCUCUGCACACCUGAUCUGGGCACUGCUCUU
rnacentral:lncRNA from 1 species